rnacentral:tRNA from 2 species
GGGUGGUUAGCUCAGUUGGUAGAGCAGUUGACUUUUAAUCAAUUGGUCGCAGGUUCGAAUCCUGCACGACCCACCA